UACGAGGGGAGCAAGCGUUGUUCGGAAUCAUUGGGCGUAAAGGGCGCGUAGGCGGCCGUACAAGUCUGGGGUGAAAGCCCUCGGCUCAACCGAGGAAUUGCCUUGGAAACUGUAUGGCUUGAGUAUUGGAGAGGAAGGCGGAAUUCCCAGUGUAGCGGUGAAAUGCGUAGAUAUUGGGAGGAACACCUGUGGCGAAGGCGGCUUUCUGGACAAUCACUGACGCUGAGGCGCGAAAGCCAGGGGAGCAAACGGAAUUAGAUACCCCGGUAGU
rnacentral:rRNA from 1 species